AAGGCGAAGAACUGGAGGAUGAGGAAGAGGAGGAUGAUGAUGAAGUUUCUCCUGAACCCAUUUCCACUUCUGAGGAUGAAGAGUCGGCUGUAUCUCCUGAUUCUGAGUCCGAUAUUCCUGUUGGGGUGACAGACAGUGACGAAGAGGUAACUUUACCCGAUGAAGAUGAUGAAAAAGAUGAAGAAGAACAUGAUGAAGAUGAAACCAGUGACGAUGAACUUCUUUCCAGUGAAGAGGAAGAGGGGGAGGAUGAGCUGGAGGAUGAUGAAGAAGAUGAUGAAGAUGAUAGACUAGCUGAGGGUGUUACUGAUAGCGAUGAUGUCAUUGCAGAAGACACUAGCGAUGACCUGGAUCUUCCUCCUAUUGUAGCUGGUAGUGAGGAUGAGGAAGAUAUUGAUCACAAACUGGCAGAGGAUGAAGAUCUUUCUCCUCUUCCUGCUGAAGAUGAAGACUUGGAAGAAGACAUAAAAGCUGUAGACACAGACGAGGAGGAAGAUGAUGAUGAGCUGGACCAAUCAGAUGAGGACAUCUCUGUUGCAUCCUCUGAACACUUUGCAGAUGAUGAAGAUGAUGAGGAAGACCGUAAAGAUGAUGACCUUGACCUGGACUUUGACAAAGAUAUCCUUGAAGACCUUAAACACAAAGAUGCUCAAGACAAACCUGAUGUCACUAAAGAGAGCAUCCCUGAUGAUGACAAAGAGGAAGAGGAGGAGGAAGCUGGCAUUCCUCCCUUUGCGAGCACAGACAGCGGAGUCUUAGGUGAUGAAGAUGAUGAGGAUGACAUUUCCUUUGAUACGGAUGAGGACUCCACUGGAGAAAUAAUCCUGAGUGACUCUUCUGACACAACUGAUGAUAAGGAUGUGGAUACAAGCUCUUUGGAUGAUGAGGAUGAAGAAGACGAGGAUGAAGAUGAAGAAGAUGAUGGUGUCGGUGAAAUCUUGAUGGCAGCUGCUGCUGCAGGAACAUUUACUGUCCAGGAGGAGGCAGCAAAGACUGAUGAAGACCAUGAAGAAGGGGAUGAGCUCAAAGAGGCUGAAGAUGAAGGGAAGACUGAAGACACAGAAACAAAAGCAACAGGCACCACACGGCCAGCAGCUCCGGAGGAGAAGGAUGAGGGCAAAGAUGAAGAGCCAAUUUCUAAACCCGACAAAUCUGUAGAUGAACAGGAAGACAAGAAAGAGGAGUACGAUGAAGACGAAGAUGAGGAUGAGAAGGCAUCGGUGGAUGUGAUCAAACCUGUUCCUGGACCAGAGGAGGCAGCACCAAAGACGGAACCCACAGUGUGUCCCUGUAUGCACUCUGCAAAGACCAAAGAGUCUCCCACUAAGACUGCUAAGGCAAAAGAUGCUCCCAAGAGAGUUUCUGCUGUGAGAAGGAGAAAAGAUCGGGAAACUGUGAGGACUGUAAAGGCUUUAAAAACAGCUGAGAAGCCCAAACGGACAGCUCUUCCCAGAAUGACUGGUCUGCCUGCGAAAACAGCAAAGAUCCGAAGAUUUCCUCCUUUUCUGAAAGCCAAGAAAGUAGAUAAACCCAAGGCUUCCAAAGCAAAGACAGAGACCAAAAAGCAAGAACAGGUCACAGACUCUGGACAAGAAGUUGGGCCUUGCAGACCUGCACCAGUCUAUUGCCCGUCCCCACCUGGAUGGUAUGUUCAUCACAUAGUCACAGACAAUCCUUACCCUCCUCCCACCAUGUCAGCUCCCUCUGCUCCUGUACUGACCGCCCACCCUGUCCAUCCCGGAGCCCCACAGACACAGGGUGUUUAUCAGCAGCAGCCUCCGCCACCACCAAUGCAUCCACUGUACGCACAGUAUCAACCAUAUCAGCCACCACUUCAGCCUGUGAUGCCGCCUCCACCAGAUCCAGUUCAACCGCUCCAGCCUGUACAGCCAGAAGCUGCAGAAGAAGAAGAAGAAAAAGCUCCUGCCCAACCUGAGGUCCCGACUCCAGCUGUUGAAGCUCAGCCUGCUGAAGCUCCGGUUCAAGAACCAGAGGCUGCUGAGGAGGACGUGAUUGCUGUCUCCACAAAGAAAGCAAAAAAGACAACAAAGGCUGCUGAUUCAGACAAAGAGCCAGGAGCAGCCAAAGGGAAAACAAAGAAAGACGCUGCUGUUUUGGAAGAGAAAACCAAAGAAGACACCGCAAAGAAAGUGGCAGCUGCUAAAAAAGACAAAAUCAGAAUUGAUGCAGGGACAAAAAAAGAUCCAUCUGCAAAACAUAAAGCUAAAAGUGCUGCAGCUCCUAAGAAAGCGCCUGCGGCUGAACGACAGAAGAGGAAAGCAGCCUCUGAAAAGACAGUGGCACCUAUCAGGAGCAAAGUGAAGGCGUCGACAGCUAAGACAGAUCCAGAACCACGUCCACAGCCACUCAGACUGAGACCGAGACUUGACAUUGGCAGGAGGGCAAAUGUAACCUCUGAGGCCCACGAGGAGAAACCUGCCAGAUCUUCAUCUGAACCAGGCCAAGCAGAGAAGGCUGAAAAGAAAUCUGUCAAAGAGUCUCAAGAAAAAGAGAAACAAGCAUCAAAAACUGAAGAGCUCAAGAAAGAAGAAAAUAUUACAGAAAAGAAGAAACCUGGACAGAGAUUCUUCCAGUGUGUUUAUGUCCCGGGCAAAAAUGCCCAGUACCCUUUACGACCUUUCACUCCAGCCAUGUCCCCCACCAUGAUGUCUCCUGCACUCAGAGCCAUGUUGGAGCAGCAGAGAGCAGCCAGGGCAUCUGGGCAGUAGGACCACCUGAAGCCUCUAUAUAUAUCUGAUAGCACUUCAUCUUUCCAUCCAGCAGGGGGAGAUGUUUGAAUCUGUGCUAGCUUUACAUUCAGAGGAUGAUCACAGAGAGAGAGAAAAAAGUGGACAGACUUACUUUGUCUUUAAUUUAUUGAAAUAUUUAGUGGUUGAGCUCCUGGGGUUGCUGUUAAUAUUGCCCAUUUUACCCUCUGCUUAUGCUGCUCUACUAUACCUAUUUUCAGUAAGAAAAAUGCCAUCUUGUGAAUAUUAUUUUAAUUAUAAAUAGUAUUUAUAAUGUAUAUAAUGCAUGUUUUUAAUUUAGAAUGGGAUAAAUGGGUCACAUCUUAGCAUGUAAUAUAAAACUGUUUUUGUGUUGCUCUCCGUGAUGCCCCUUAUCAGAUUUAACAGUAAUUUAAGGCAGUUUAGUUUAUAUCCAAGCAAACACUUAUACUCUAUUAAGACAAGGUUUUACUGUCUAAGAUUAUUUGCAACAGGAAAAUAUAUUACAUUGAAUUGAAUGUUAAUGUUAGUAAACCCAAGCAAAUACAUUACAUAAAAUAAGAUUGAAUUGAAAAGUAUUUUUUCCCAUUUUUUCAUAUAAAUAACUGCAUUUUCAGUUCCUGUAACCAUGCCCCGUGUUUGUUUCUGCGGCUUUGCUGCAUCUGCAAUAGAACAGAAUGCAAAUGUUGGAGGGUCAAAUCCCAGGAGCUCCCACAUUGAUCCGAGCAGCAUCCCUGUCACUGAACAUCCAUCAGCCUCAUCAAUCGUAGGCGCAUGCUGUGAUUGAUGGACACAUAUGUCUUGACAUAUUAUGAACACAUCUAGCAUGAAACUGUUGGCCAUUUACCUUUCACCGCUAAUGUUUUUUUUUUUUUUUUUGUAGAGGUUCAUUUCAAUAUGUUACAUGCCACAUUUUAACUUGUGACUCCACUUAAAGUGGUGUAUUGGAAAUACUGUAGACUAGUAGAUGAAUAAAAUAUAGAAGAAUCUGAAAAAAUAGAUAUUUACUAACAUCCAAGAGGCGCCCAAAAGAUUUGUAUAUCUGUAUGAAUACAAACUCAAUAAUGCAAUGCAGUCUCAUUACACAUAUUGGAGCUGCAAAAUUAAAUAAACCUGCAUCCAAUUAAGAAACAUAUUUAAAUGAAACAUAAAGCUAAGUAAGAAAAAGGGGAUAUGAUUUUUUAAAAUACAUUUUCUUGUGUAUAUACAAUAAUUAUUAAAUAGUCUAGGUUCUCUGUGUAACUUGAAGCAGCUUGUAUGUGGGACUGUGGGCUUCCCAGUGGUGGUUUAUUGGCCAGGAAAUGAGUAUGCAGCAAAAUCAGCAAUGUUUUUGUGGCGCCUCAUUAGGUGUAAUAAAUUCAGAAAACCUGUUUUUGAUUUGUUUUUCUUUUAAAGCCAAAGAUUGCAAUGCUGUGCUUUUAUCUUAAAAAUGAAGUGCAAUUCCUGGAUAGUAAAUGUCUUGUAAUGAUGUGUUUUAUCACAGAUGACCUCUAAUUACUUACAAGUAUCAGCUCCUCAUGUUCAGAGGCAGGGACAACUUUGAUGUGACCAACUCAUGAGACACUGUGAUGUCUGCUACACUGAAUGAAUGUCAUUUGUGUUAAUCAUCAGCUUAUUUAUUAAGUCUGAUCUUGUCAUAUUUCUUUUUACCUCAGUCAUUCAUAGCUCUGGUUUUGUACCUUAUAGCAACAUGGCUGCCUUGUUGACACUGCCAAACUGUUGCUGAGCAUCACCAGUGAUUUCUGUCGCCGUCUUACUGAAUGAAAACUUGAUGAAAAGAACCAAAAAAGGUGUUUUUAAGCUGGGCUUAAUCCUGGGAUAUGACCCACUCUUGCCCAGAUUGUGCUGUCACAUUCACCUUUUAACAGAGUGAGUUCCUAAAGACACACAAAUCUACUAGUUUUUAAUAGCUAGUCCAUGCUUUAAAAAAAUGCUUUUGACACUCACGGCCAGAGUAAAGACAACGCAAAGCACUCAUAUUGUUGCAUUUUUAACAUAUUAUGACCCUGUGGAUUGAGCUACAUCAAUUAUUAAGAUGUUAUUUUAAAUUUGAUUUUUGUUUUUGUUUUUGAGGUAUGGCAGUGAAGUGCGGCUCAACCAGAGGUUCUUGAAGUUAUCAGGGCCAGGGACCUCUUAGAGGGGUGAAAGUUUUCCAAGGUUCCCCUCAUAAUCCACAUUCAAAGCAGUUAAGAUGCUUUGAACCUCGUGUUACUUGUUGUUGUGGACUGACUCAGAUAUUUCCCUAUGCUAUCUUGCUAGGUAGUCAUCUAACUAAUACGCCAAACUAUGCAGCAGAACAUUUCUGCUGUCCUUGAGUGUUGUUACGGAGUUUCUACCAAACUGACUCAAUGCACCACAUUGAUAUCAGACUCUCCAUUAACCCAAAGACAACUUUGGGGAUAAAAAUGGACUCAAUAUAUAUUCAUAUUUUUUUAACUGUGAAAUUGUUACCAUUCAUUAAAAUCCACUUUUAAUGAUGCAGCACAGAUUACUCAAUUUAAAGCAAAUUAUUUUCAGACCCCUCGGCUAUGAGAUAUCAACCGUAGGGCCGACUCACCAUUGCACUUGCUAAUCCUAACUGUAUUGUAACUUUUUCUAAAACUGCUUUUUUUAAAGCCUCAAACUGUGUUUAGCGAGAAAUUGAAUUUUAGAGGUGAGUUUAAAGUAAGUUACUUGAAAACUUCUAUUUAAUUAUUGCAAACUAAAAAAUCAUCCUCCAGCUUAAUAACAUAAUUAGAAAUUUUUCUUGUUCUUUUUUAAGAGUUAGUUCUAAAUAAAGUGAUGUUUACUGAUAUGAACUGAACAUUUUCAUCACUUGUUUUACCAAUAAUUAGCUGCCAAAGAUCGCACAGUGGCCAUUUUGACUAAAACUAGUGUGUUGCAACAUUAAAGAAGGUCCUGCCCCUUUUAGGUGCAGGCCCAUAAUUUUUGUGAUAUUGUUACAUAAAUAACAGUUUUGAUUUCCUUAGACUCAAUCUAAAAGAUGAACAUAGCCAGUGUGACAUCACCCAUUGGUUUCUGGACUUUUUCUUUGUUUUUAUUUAGUUUAUUUCAUUUCAUUUUUCUUUAUUCCUGAGUUUAACAGAACAUUGAUUGUAAGGGUUUUUUGUAAACUCUCAUUUUAUAAACAAGUCUGAAAUGAAGUGUAUCCCUGAGGUUUCAGUAUUGCGCUCCAGGGGUGAGGUCAGCAGUCCUGAAGUGGUAAAGAAGCCUAAUGAGAUCUGACAUAAUGUACUGCUGCAACUGAUUGUAGGUGGUGUAAGUGUUUGUUGGAGUAAGUUAUCACCUUAAAAUGUGGUUUUUACUGGUGUUUUGAUUAAUCAUAUUCCAGAAGGGCGUAUCAGCAGUAGUCUGCUGGUGCCUCAGUGUUCUGAAGGUCCUCAAAACAUAUAAAACAGUAAUUACAGCAUAAACUGUGGCUAUGUGCUGUAAUUAUGUUUUAAAGUGUUAUUAACUGUAAUUUAACGUGAGUUAAACCGUGAUCUCAUACAAGAAAACGAACCAGAAGGAACACACAAAAACAUCAGAGCUCUAUCUAAUGUAACUCCAGGUCCUUCAUACAUAUUCAUGUGAGCCUACAGUUGUAAGGCUGAGUUCAACUUGACUACUCUACGUCCCUGAUUAUGUUUUAAGUACAUGCGUUUGGAUGGUGUUGUUAAAAGCAAGUGAUCUGCUUUUUCUUAUGCAUGUUUUUUUUUCUGAAAAGCUGUAGUGCAACACUUACACUUUUGCUUCACUGUAUUUCACUAUGAUGUGUUGCUGUCAUAUUUGUCUUUCAUUCUUUUAUUGGUUGGUAGUUAUCUGAAACUACAGACAAAUUCGUGUAAUUGAUCUGCGAUCUCCAAGGAGAAUAAAAAAUAGCUGGGUUUCUUGUAGAUACUUCAUCUGGGAUUGGAGUGCAGUUUAACACUCUUUAAAAAAGUCUAAUUCCACAAAAUACAGUUUGAGGUUGUUUUGUUUUGGAAGGAUAUAUUUUGUUAACAAAUUGUACUAUUUUCUGCAUGAUAAUGUCAUUUAUUUAAAUUCAAGGCUGCUUUUUUUGUAACACACAAGUAAGACUGCGGUGUCACAAAAAGCAGUCACUCUGGUGCUGUACAAAUACUGUAGAUAAUAGUUAAUGAGACUUAUCACUCCAUUAGUUCUCAAAGAUAAUAAUAAAUUUGUUAACACGUUUGCUCAAAAAACUGUUUUAAAUUAAAGAUGUUUUUUUUUCUUGUGCUUUAUCAAAUAUGUAUGAAAAUGAUGUUUUAUUAAGAGAAAGUAUGAACUACCUGCUGCAUGUACUAUAAAGCAGAUGUGUUUAAUUCACUCAGUCACUUUCCAGAAGCCAGUUAAGUGUCAUACCUGACAUUUCAGGCAAUAAUAUCAUUGGAGGGACAACACUGAGUCUGCUGUGCUUAUGUAGGAAACUUU
ensembl:lncRNA